rnacentral:rRNA from 1 species
UUCGGUUAUAAGAUCCCUCGAAGAUGACGAGGUUAAUAGGUUCGAGGUGGAAGCGUGGUGACACGUGGAGCUGACGAAUACUAAUCGAUCGAAGACUUAAUCAAUUU